UCCUGGGAGAGAUGGACACAUCAACCAAUAGUAAUAGCAGGUGUGAUGGGUGUAUAUGGAGAUAUGCCCAGGGUUACGAAGAGCCUGGAAAAUAGAUGACCAACCAGCAGGCUGGGUUAGGGUGUGGUUUCAGAGAGGAAGCACUGGACUAAGACUUGAAGAAUGCAUUGGAAGAGCAAAUCAGGCAGAAAAGAGGACAGAGUCAUUUUGCUCAGAAGAAAUAGCAUGUGCAAAUGUGCCACAACCAUUCAAAUCAAGUUGCUGCUUAAGUCUUGCCCACAACUUUUCAUCUGAAAAGUGGAGUAGCUGAAGCAGCCAAUGCUGGUGGUUAUAAUUCUUGAGGAUGCAACAGUAAGAACGGAGAGGAAAUAACCCCUGAAGCCUUUGCAACUAAGGACAUGUAUCCUUCAGACAAGUGUUUACUGGGCAACUUCUUCGUGCUGUAAUUGAGUGUGGCCGAUUGCUCACAAAGAUGUUUGCAAAAUCCCUCCUGUCCCCUAACUCACUUCUCCUUGCAGUGUCACUCUGCCAACUUCUCCUGUCGAUUGGUGAAGACUGUUUCUCCUCCCCCUUGAAUAUGGGCUGGGCUUGUAACUUGCUUGACCAAUAGAAUGCAGAGAAAUGAAAUGCAGCCUUCAACAUUCAAGGCUAUGCUCAAGGAGUCUAACCCUGUGGAUAUGCUGUUGUCAAAUGAGGGAGCUUCGAUUAGCCUGUUGAAGACACACAGACGACCCGACAGGCAAUACCAACAUUCGGAUAUGCAAGUUAUGCUGUCUUAGACCAUGCUGCCCAGGUGAACUUUUAGACGACUGCAAUUUGUGAGUGACUCUAGGCAAGACCAGAAGAAACUUCUAGCUAAAUCUAAACCAAAUGUCAACUCAGAAUUGUCAGCAAAUAAAAUGGUUGUUGUUUAAAGACA